CGCCCGUUGUACAUCCCCUCUCGACGGCCCGGUAAUACGGACUUUUCCUUCGGGACAGAAGAGACAGGUGGGGCAUGGUUGUCGUCAGCUCGUGUCGCGAGAUGUUGGGUUAAUUCCCGCACCGGGGGCACCCCUUGCUUUUAGUACCCGAUGAUUUGACGUGGGCCCCCUCUUCCUCCUGCUUGGGAUAAGCCGGAGGAAGGGGGGGCCCACCUCAAAUCGUUGGGCCCUUUAUGGAUGGGGUGCCCCCCUUGCUACAAUGGCCCCAACAUAUCGAAACAAGCCCUGAAGAGAAACAUGACCCCAAAGACUCCGUCCCCCCUAAGAUUGUACCCUGCUACCCGACUACAUGAAGCUGGAAUCGCUUUGAAUCGGUUCUUCGAAUUCCCCCGGGAAUCCCUCCCCGGGUCUUGUAACCCCCCGGAGCGA
rnacentral:rRNA from 1 species